rnacentral:rRNA from 1 species
UACGGAGGGUGCAAGCGUUACUCGGAAUCACUGGGCGUAAAGAGUGCGUAGGCGGGAAAGCAAGUCAGAUGUGAAAUCCUGUAGCUUAACUACAGAACUGCAUUUGAAACUGCUUUUCUAGAGUGUGGGAGAGGUAGGUGGAAUUCUUGGUGUAGGGGUAAAAUCCGUAGAGAUCAAGAGGAAUACUCAUUGCGAAGGCGACCUGCUGGAACAUUACUGACGCUGAUGCACGAAAGCGUGGGGAGCAAACAGG